AUGGCGGUGCUUGUGCCACUGAAGAAGAAGAAGCUCGUGGAGGUUAAAGUUGGAGAGUGGCCGAGUUGGAUAUUGAUGCGGGAUUUCAUCCCCAGUGGUACUGCAGGAGCCUUUCCAGAGAGGGCAUGAUCAAUACUUACAAGUACACCAGCAUUCGGAAAGGCAGCAUCUCGGGGAUUAAUAUGGUACUGGCAGCCUACGUGGCUUUCAACUACUGCAUUUCUUACAAGGAACCGGAACAGCGAGGCAAGAACCCAUGA
rnacentral:lncRNA from 1 species